GGCUCUGAAUGCUAUUGCACCACAUGUGUUUUUCUUUGAAACAAACUUGCUUUGGCGGUGGGCCCAGCCUGCCGCCAGAGGUCUAAACUUACAACCAAUUUUUUAUCAACUUGUCACACCAGAUUAUUACUAAUAGUCAAAACUUUCAACAACGGAUCUCUUGGUUCUCGCAUCGAUGAAGAACGCAGCGAAAUGCGAUACGUAAUAUGAAUUGCAGAUAUUCGUGAAUCAUCGAAUCUUUGAACGCACAUUGCGCCCUCUGGUAUUCCGGAGGGCAUGCCUGUUUGAGCGUCGUUUCUCCCUCAAACCGCUGGGUUUGGUGUUGAGCAAUACGACUUGGGUUUGCUUGAAAGACGGUAGUGGUAAGGCGGGAUCGCUUUGACAAUGGCUUAGGUCUAACCAAAAACAUUGCUUGCGGCGGUAACGUCUACCACGUAUAUCUUCAAACUUUGACCUCAAAUCAGGUAGGACUACCCGCUGAACUUAAGCAUAUCAAUAAGCGGAGGAA
rnacentral:rRNA from 1 species